CUUAGAAGCAGCCAUCAUUUAAAGAAAGCGUAAUAGCUCACUGGUCGAGUCGGCCUGCGCGGAAGAUGUAACGGGGCUAAACCAUGCACCGAAGCUGCGGCAGCGACACUCAGGUGUUGUUGGGUAGGGGAGCGUUCUGUAAGCCUGCGAAGGUGGCCUGUGAGGGUUGCUGGAGGUAUCAGAAGUGCGAAUGCUGACAUAAGUAACGAUAAAGCGGGUGAAAAGCCCGCUCGCCGGAAGACCAAGGGUUCCUGUCCAACGUUAAUCGGGGCAGGGUGAGUCGACCCCUAAGGCGAGGCCGAAAGGCGUAGUCGAUGGGAAACGGGUUAAUAUUCCCGUACUUGGUGUUACUGCGAAGGGGGGACGGAGAAGGCUAUGUUGGCCGGGCGACGGUUGUCCCGGUUUAAGCGUGUAGGUGUGUGUUCCAGGUAAAUCCGGUUCACUUUAACACUGAGGCGUGAUGACGAGGCACUACGGUGCUGAAGCAACAAAUGCCCUGCUUCCAGGAAAAGCCUCUAAGCAUCAGGUAACAUCAAAUCGUACCCCAAACCGACACAGGUGGUCAGGUAGAGAAUACCAAGGCGCUUGAGAGAACUCGGGUGAAGGAACUAGGCAAAAUGGUGCCGUAACUUCGGGAGAAGGCACGCUGACACGUAGGUGAAGUGAUUUACUCAUGGAGCUGAAGUCAGUCGAAGAUACCAGCUGGCUGCAACUGUUUAUUAAAAACACAGCACUGUGCAAACACGAAAGUGGACGUAUACGGUGUGACGCCUGCCCGGUGCCGGAAGGUUAAUUGAUGGGGUCAGCGCAAGCGAAGCUCCUGAUCGAAGCCCCGGUAAACGGCGGCCGUAACUAUAACGGUCCUAAGGUAGCGAAAUUCCUUGUCGGGUAAGUUCCGACCUGCACGAAUGGCGUAAUGAUGGCCAGGCUGUCUCCACCCGAGACUCAGUGAAAUUGAACUCGCUGUGAAGAUGCAGUGUACCCGCGGCAAGACGGAAAGACCCCGUGAACCUUUACUAUAGCUUGACACUGAACAUUGAGCCUUGAUGUGUAGGAUAGGUGGGAGGCUUUGAAGUGUGGACGCCAGUCUGCAUGGAGCCGGCCUUGAAAUACCACCCUUUAAUGUUUGAUGUUCUAACGUGGACCCGUGAUCCGGGUUGCGGACAGUGUCUGGUGGGUAGUUUGACUGGGGCGGUCUCCUCCUAAAGAGUAACGGAGGAGCACGAAGGUUGGCUAAUCCUGGUCGGACAUCAGGAGGUUAGUGCAAUGGCAUAAGCCAGCUUGACUGCGAGCGUGACGGCGCGAGCAGGUGCGAAAGCAGGUCAUAGUGAUCCGGUGGUUCUGAAUGGAAGGGCCAUCGCUCAACGGAUAAAAGGUACUCCGGGGAUAACAGGCUGAUACCGCCCAAGAGUUCAUAUCGACGGCGGUGUUUGGCACCUCGAUGUCGGCUCAUCACAUCCUGGGGCUGAAGUAGGUCCCAAGGGUAUGGCUGUUCGCCAUUUAAAGUGGUACGCGAGCUGGGUUUAGAACGUCGUGAGACAGUUCGGUCCCUAUCUGCCGUGGGCGCUGGAGAACUGAGGGGGGCUGCUCCUAGUACGAGAGGACCGGAGUGGACGCAUCACUGGUGUUCGGGUUGUCAUGCCAAUGGCACUGCCCGGUAGCUAAAUGCGGAAGAGAUAAGUGCUGAAAGCAUCUAAGCACGAAACUUGCCCCGAGAUGAGUUCUCCCUGAGACUUUAGGUCUCCUGAAGGAACGUUGAAGACGACGACGUUGAUAGGCCGGGUGUGUAAGCGCAGCGAUGCGUUGAGCUAACCGGUACUAAUGAACCGUGAGGCUUAACCUU
rnacentral:rRNA from 1 species